GUUUACGAUGCCCUUCUAUGACAGGAUUAAUUGAUUCACACAUACAUUAAAACAAAAAUAACUAAACUGAAAUUUAGCUGGAAGCCUGGCUCCUCAUUUGUCAUAAACCCUGCUGUUGGUGAUAGCUGACAAAGACCCUAAUGCCGAACGGGGUUGAGGUUCCCUUCCUGACCUCACCUUUCUUUCUGAAUGGAAACAAGAGCCUUGGAAACAAACCAGAAUGCUUUAAGAUCUGCGAUGAUUAAGAACACCUGUGGCAACACCAAACAGAGCCCACAAACAUCGUGCUGAUGAGCAAGGACUAGGGAAGAAGAUGCUCAAGAAACAUCCAUGAAAACAACCAGGAGGGCUUUGAGAGAAUGCGGAGCUGGAGCUCGGAUCUUCCUUUCUGAAAAGCAUGAGAAAACCCAGAAGGCUCUGUCUUAAGAUAAAAAGACCAGGGACUUUCUAGGGGUCAUAAGAUUUAACCACAAUGUUGCUGCAAAUGCAUCUCGCAAACUACUAGGUGAAAUCAUGGAAAAUUCUGGAAGAAAAGGAGAGAGGUAAGACUAAUCAGGUUGACAACACAGAAAGAAAGAAUGACACAAGACUACCUUCUGUUUGGGGGCGAACCCAGUACCAAACACCUGUGUGGCAGCUACGGUCUCUGCUUUCUUUUCGGAUGACGUUGGCCUGAUCCAUCUGCAGAACUGUGUGCCAAUUCUGAUUAUCCAGGAGUGGCCUUGCAUAUCAAUGAGGCUUUACUUGAUCCAGUGCCAACCAGUCUUUGUGGGGUAAUUAAUUGGCAUAGUGAUUGGCAAAAACCCAGCCCAAAUUUUUGUAGGUGAUUUGUGGCACAGGUUAAUGGCUCUUCUCACAAAACUCUGGGCAUGGUGCUACCAUGAAAUUUUAAAUUUUCUAACACUCCAUGCUCCA
rnacentral:lncRNA from 10 species